rnacentral:rRNA from 1 species
AUUGAACGCUGGCGGCAGGCCUAACACAUGCAAGUCGAGCGGAUGAAGGGAGCUUGCUCCUGGAUUCAGCGGCGGACGGGUGAGUAAUGCCUAGGAAUCUGCCUGGCAGUGGGGGAUAACGUCCGGAAACGGGCGCUAAUACCGCAUACGUCCUGAGGGAGAAAGUGGGGGAUCUUCGGACCUCACGCUAUCAGAUGAGCCUAGGUCGGAUUAGCUAGUUGGUGGGGUAAAGGCCUACCAAGGCGACGAUCCGUGACUGGUCUGAGAGGAUGAUCAGUCACACUGGAACUGAGACACGCGCCACACUCCUACGGGAGGCAGCAGUGGGGAAUAUUGGGCAAUAGGCGAAAGCCUGUUCCAGACAUGUCGCGUGUGUGAAGAAGGUCUUCGGAUUGUAAAGCACUUUAUGUUGGGAGGAAGGGCAGUAAGUUUAUACCUUGCUGUUUUGACGUUACCAACAGAAUAAGCGCCGGCUAACUUCGUG